rnacentral:rRNA from 1 species
CACGGAGUUAGCCGAUCCUUAUUCCUACAGUACCGUCAAGCUCCCACACGUGGGAGGGUUUCUUCCUGUAUAAAAGCAGUUUACAAUCCAUAGGACCGUCUUCCUGCACGCGGCAUGGCUGGUUCAGUCUUGCGACCAUUGACCAAUAUUCCUCACUGCUGCCUCCCGUAGGAGUCUGGUCCGUGUCUCAGUACCAGUGUGGGGGAUCUCCCUCUCAGGACCCCUACCCAUCAUCGUCUUGGUAAGCCGUUACCUUACCAACUAACUAAUGGGACGCAUGCUCAUCUUGUACCGUUGGAACUUUAAUAUAACCAACAUGCGAAGGUUAUAUACUAUGGGGCAUUAAUCCAAAUUUCUCUGGGCUAUUCCCCUGUACAAGGUAGAUUGCAUACGCGUUACGCACCCGUGCGCCGGUCUCAAACACCGAAGUGUUCUACCCCUCGACUUGCAUGUGUUAGGCCUGCCGCUAGCGUUCAUCCUGAGCCAGGAUCAAACUCU